UCUUGUGCUUCACUCUUCACUUGUCUCGGCUUCUUCUUCCUCCUUCAGAUUUGCGUUUUCCUCCGUUCAGAUUUGCGUUUUCCUCCGUUCGAGUUCCCUUUCGUCUUCACCAAGAGGUAAGUGUUUCAGUCUUCACUUUUGGGUUAGGGUUUUGUCGCGGACGCCACCGCCAUUGUCGCGCAAUUUGUCGCCUCCCGUGAUGCCGUAACCCAGAACCAGAACCAGAACCAGAAACAGAAUAGUAAAAGCUUGAGUUAGGGUUUUCCCAUACGGAAACUACAAGAGAUUGGUCAAGACGUGGAUGAAGAUCCUUUAUAAAAGCUUUUGAAACAAGGGAAAAAUCUAUCUUAUGGUUCAAGACCCAUGAUUAAAGUUUGAGCAUUGAAUGAAAGUGUCCAGAAAUAUACUGAACUUGCUGGGAAAUUGGGGCUAUUUGCGAUAUAUGUUGUAUGUAACUCAAUAUUUUGGUAGAGGCAAUUUCUAGCUUAUAAAGGGAUGAACAUAGCACCACUUGAACAUGAUUGGACCAUAAAGCUCCAGUGCCAAUGCCUGAGUUCAUUGAUAUGUCUGCAUUCUUGAUCUCCAGUCUCCACCAAGGUUGUAGGAUUGGUCCUAUCAAUUAAGAGGUGGUCCUGAAAACUCCAUUAGGGCUACUCGCUUUGGAGCACUAUUUACGUACACCUCAAGGAGUUGGUUGUAUAACAAGAUUGGUUCCACAAAAAGGUGUUCAUCUUAUUAGACAUGCGAUAUUUCUAACAUUGGAGUUGCGAGGACAAUUUGAUCUACUUGGUUCAAGUCCAGUGCCACAUAUUCAGGGAGCAACAUCAAUCAGGACCUUCUCAUUCUGAAGAACCUAGAGUGUGGGAGGAUCGUCACGCUGAUCAGUAAAAUUUACUAAAAUAAAAAAAGAGAAAUAUAAUAAAAAAUUAUAAAAAAAUAUAUGGCAGUUUUUUAGUUUAUUUGGUUUGAUAAAAAAUUGCAAUGAAAUAAUGUAACAAGUCAUUUAGUUUAAAUAGAAUGAAAAAAAAAUUUAUAAAUAAACAUACUUGAUAUCAUAUGCUUAAGGGUUCAAAGGUGAAGAAAAAAAUGAGUUGGGUCUCUCCUAAAGUAAGAUUUUAAUUCUAGCAAUGAUAUUUUUUUUAAGUAAUUUACUAAUUUUUUUUAAUUACUAUUCUAUUGAAAUUGAUUUUAUAUUCUUUUUGUAGUCUCACAAACAAAAAGGAAAUUAUGAGUGCGGAUACUAUGUAAUGAAGACAAUGCAUACUAUUGUCGAUUCAAAAAUAGUAUCUAGGUGGACUGAAUAUUUAUAGAUCGAUCACCAUUGUCGCUAGAAGACAUAAACAUCAUUAGGGAGCAAUGAGCCACAUUUUUUAUUGACCGUUACUUUAACUAGUUUGGGCUGAUGUUUUAUAGUAUUGCUUUAACUAGUUAGAACUUACAUUUCAUUGAGCAAUGUAGUCCAUUUAUGUAUUAGAUGUAUUUAAAACUAUUCAAUUAUAUAUAUAUGAUUAACAUUUAUCAUCUUGUCA